GGAAAAAAGGAAAAAAACGCCUAUCCAACAGGCUUUUACGCGUGCGUAGAAACAUUUUGGCCAUUGAGCCGUUAGUGGAGCUUAGAGAGCAUUCGGGAAGGAAACAGACACCAUCACCCACCCCAAACAGACCAGCAGGAAUCAUGGGGAGUGUGUUCCUGCCGUCGGACCUGGCCAACUCAGUGUUGAGCCGGCAGCGCAGGGACAACAGUUACCUGCUAGAGGAGAUCCGGCAGGGCAACAUCCAGAGAGAGUGCAGGGAGGAGAUCUGCACCUACGAGGAGGCCCGGGAGGCCUUUGAGAACGACGAGAAAACUCAACGGUUCUGGGAGGAGUAUGUGCGGGAGAGCAACCCAAGUGGCGGGCUGCAGUCGGUGGUUGGCGGAGUCCACUCCCUCUACCUGAUCCUCCCUUUGCUCCUGGUGCUCCUCCUCAUCGCAGCAGUGGCCAUCACUGUGUGGCGCUGCCACUCCCGUAAGCGCUCGGAGCGCAGCCCCGCCCUGGGGGCUCCCACCGGGACCCCACCCUAUCGGUGGUCUCCAUGGACCAGUGGGGACGGGACUUCCACUCCGAGCUCAGCGUCCACAGCAGCCCCGCCUACCCGGGCUCGGAGGUCACGUCUGCGAGGGGAAGCAGGGGAGAGCCACCGCCGUCUUACGAGGAGGCGGUUGGCCACACGGAUGUGCACAUAGAGACAGAGCCGCCGCCUCAGUAUGAGGACAUCAUUGGCCAUGGGAAGUGAAGUAACCCCCCCCCUGCCCAAUGCCCUGUCUUACCCGACGCCCCACCAGCUCCCCUCCUCUCUCUCUCCAGCCCCCAUCCAGCUAUAUCAUCCUCCUGGUCUCAGCCUACACCUCGCCUCCCUUUAACUGUUACUACACUAACGGAGAGUUGCUGGAUGCAAUAACGUCGACGCUUGCACUGACCAUCGGAUAGGAGUUGAGUGAUAGAGACGAUACCAAAUGUUUGAUCUCACAAAACCAAAAUGUAUUUUUUUUUUUUUAGCUUCCUCCAUACUACCAUAGAUUUAUGUUACGACUACCCUGGAGGUUUGGGGCUCGCAAAUGAACGGUGCAUGACAAUUGCGUGGCGUAAAAGGAAAAAUAAGGAGAGAACAAUUCUUGAAUUUUGAAUGUUCAGGAAGUGAAUUGUUAAAAAACAAGCAAUUUUGCUUGCAUAAGGAGACAGAAUAGUUUGCUGUCGUUUUAGCCAAUACUGGCUUACCCAAACAUAUGGCUACAUACACGUAGACUUACUGGAUCUAUGCCAGCGUCGUAUCAAUUGUGGACGACUGUCCCAAAUGGCACCCUCUAUCUUUAUACAGUGCACUACUUUUAACCAGAGCCCUAUGGGUAGUAGUGCACUAAAUAUGGUAUAGGGUAGUUUGGGAUGCAAGCCUAUGUCUGUCUCUCGGAGUGACAUUAUCUGAGCUGUGCUGGCAUGGAGCGCGGAGUGACCUGCAAGGGAAUACGGGCCAGGAAGCAGCAGAAUAUGAAGCGGCGACGGCCCAUUUUCCCUCAUGGUGAUAAAUGCAGUAUUAAGUCACUAUGGACAGUGUGUGUGUGAGCAUGUGUUAAGAGUGCACUUGAGUGCUUCUAUUUUUUUCCCCCCUGCAGAUAACGGCAGUGACACUAAUGUAGUGGAUAUACGUGGCGUGACUGAAGGCACUUUCUGUUAACGCUCAAACUGAGCCAUUUGCUAAUGAAUUCUAAGACAGUCUGUUUGGGUCUAUUCAGCACAACUCAGCAAUGUCACCCAUUGAUACAAUGGUCUAUUUUACAUUGUAAUUAUGCAGCUGGGGGACUAAUUGCAGACAUCCUAAGCAGCAACUAUCUGCCUAAUAUUCGUUAUCAUAAUACGUCAGUGGUCCUGUACACACUUUAGGAUGUACAGCUGAUUUAUAACGCAUAGUUUGGCCGGGAUUCAAUCUUCUCCACGUUAUUUGUACGCUUGCCAUUUGAAAGUCAUUUCCAUUAAGCCGUCAUCUCCAGUGUUUUGUUGAUGCAGGGAACAUUGCCUUUUUAAAAGGUGCGUUGUCGACAGCGUUUUACCAAUUUUUGAAUCCUGGCCUUUGUCUGCACAGUAAUGUUUACACACUAAUUGUGCAGUGUCUCGACAACGCUUGUAAUAACAUUUUUACAAAAACUUUCUAUUGUGCCAUAUGUUGUACAUUAGUUGUAGAACUGGUAUCUCCAUUAGUUGUAGAACUAAUGUACGGGGGCCUGUGUAACAUGUACAUUACAGAUUGAGAGCACUGUUUUUUGUUGUUGACCUGUGACUGGGAAAUGUUGAUGGUCUAUUGGUACGUUCAAGACAACUGAAACGCCUAGGAUGAGGCCCGAGUUUCCCACUUGGAAAGUACCAGAAUCAACCAACAAAAAGCUCCUACGCAAAUAACUAUUGUUAAUUUUAACUUGAGGUUCCAAGUUGUCAUGAAUGCGCCAUAUGGCCCUGUCCAGAAGUAACCCCUACCCACUUGAGGAUUCAAUAUGUAAAAGAUACAGUACGUGGUGACAUACAGACGAGGUGGAAUUGUUGCUAAAUUGCUUCCACCUGUUCAAUCAUUUCAGGUCUACAUGUAGGUUAAUAGGGGCAAGGAAUUCUGGACAGGGCCAAUUUUAUUGUACUGUUACCUUUAGAAAUCCAGUUUUUACGCCUUAAGCAAAUGUAAAAAAUAAAAAAAAUACCUUUGAAUAUGUUCUGAGCUUGAAUUGUAAUUUAUAAUAAAAUACUUAAACAUG